rnacentral:lncRNA from 1 species
GGCGGAGCGUUUUCGAAGAGAUAAUUCCCAAAUGGGUCUCCGGGAAGGUGGAAAAAUUGAAGUUGAAAUUGGAAAUCUCUGCAUUUGGAUGCUGUGGGAUCUUACGAAUCUGAAAGAAAAAUUCGGAAGUGAUUAUUUUUUGCUUUGUGUAGGUAAUUGCCGUUGACUAUUCUGUUCUUGAAUGUUUUAUUAUAUAUAUUUUUUUUAAUUAAAAAUACAUCAACAAAUUUUUCAUUUUUAAUUUUUUGUUCUUUGAACAUUGAAUUGGUUAAGAGAGUUAGUCUUUAGGAGUUGUUCAUGGGAGAUAAUUGAUGCAAUUGAUCGUAAAGCUAGAGGAUUAUUGGUAAAUCACUUAGAAAAAUUUUCUCUAACUUGAUUUCAAGUGUUUCUCAAAAUAAGCUUUUUUAACAUUUUUCUUUAAUUGGUAAAGAAAAACUACUUUUUAUUCUUGCAACUCUUGUUUUUUCAUUUUUCUUUAUCAUUCUCAUUCCUAAUUUUCUCCAUUUCGCUUUUACUCUCUAUCUAAAUAGAAAAAGGAAAAAAAAGUGAGAGUGAAAUGAAACAAAAAGAGAAAAAAUGGAAUCAAUUAAAAUUCUAUUAAUCAACCAAAUUAAGGCAUUAUGGGCCAAACCCACUUUUCAUGGCCGGAUCAUAUGCCUCAUUCAAUACUACCUUUUUUUUUUUCUUUUCUUUUCCUUUCAAUUCAUUCUAAGAAUUCCAACUUUUUAUUUAUGAUUUCAUUAGUUGAAUAACAUUAGGUUAACACCAAAUUUAAUAUUAUCAUUAACAUUGAUGAUGGUUUAAGUGACUAUCUUUUUAUUUGUCACAUUUGUUAAAUUGUUGAGAUGAAGGAUUCAAUCAUCUAAAUUCUAACUUUUAAAUAUUAAUUCGUUUUUGUUUCCUUAGUUUGAAAAUGUUUAAUAUUUUACCCGUGUAUUUUAAAUUUUGUUCAUUUUGGUCCAUAUAUUUGAACCACAAUCAUUUUAGUCUUUUAUUUUUCUUGUUGCUUCAUCUUCAUUUUCAAGAGACCAAAAUUUAAAAGUUUAAUGACUAAAAUGAACCAAAGUUUAAAAUAUGAAAAUUAAAAUGAACUAAAACAAAAAAUACACAAACUUUUCUUUUAUCUUAAAAAAGUGAGUACGUAAAAACGUACUCUCUAAAGGAGGAAAGAAAGUAUGAAUCCAUCAAACUAAAAAAAGAUAUUGUUAGCAGUUAUGGACUUGAUUUCAAAAUACAAGAUCUAUGAAAUGGAAGGUAAGGAAUUGAAAAUAUAGGAAUACUGAGUUAAAGAAUCGAUCUAAACUUCCAUUUUAGGUUUUCUAGAGAUUCUAACUUUCUCAAUUAAACUUCUUUCUUCUUUUCUACUUUUCUAAUUGAACUAACAAUCGCAAACAUAACUCAUUACCAUAAAUAUCUCUAAACUGUUACUUUGAAAUCAUUUAUUGUAUAAAUCUGCUGGCUUAAAGAUCUUGUACGUGUUUGAGUUGCUCAUUCCUUGUUAGAGCUCCUCUUAUCUAGGAUCUUCCGUCGGUGUGACAUUGAGUUGAAUAUACUUCGUUAUCAAAGUGAGUACUCAAGUGUUCAAAGAUUGAUUGAGCACACAGAGAACAUUGCUAACUCAUUGACAAAAAACAUUAAUUAUCAACUCCUCGAAGUGGCAGAAUAAAACUAUUUAUAAAAUCUAGAUUGACGUCCAUUCAGGACACGUACAAUAUCAACAACUUCCAAAGACAAUGCCUUAUACAAUCCAUCUACGGUUUAGAUAAAUAAAUCUAUUUUCUUAAAUGGUAAAAGAAAAACAUAAUGAAAACCUUUAACUUCCCCCCCAGAAUAUCCAAUAUAUAACUUUCGAUUGGCAGAAAGUGGGUUUGGCAAUUAAGUUAAUGAGCCAUUGCUUUAAUUUAGAAAAGGAUAAACCAAACUAUGAUAUAAUCAUUUUAUUGAUAUUUUAAACAUUGGAAACUGACACAUCAAAAAGAAGUAUUGCUGAAUCAGCGCAUACCAAUGGCUAAGAAUCCCAACAAAAAGGGUAAGUGGGAGAUGAUGUCACCAACCCCACUUCUAAAUCAUAUAUACUUUCAACUUUAUAUUUAAAUUACACACUCACUACUACCUUAAUAUUAUUUGAAUCUCAUUCAUUUCACAUACCAUUUUCUCUUUAUUGGGUAUUCUUUUAUUCCCCUUCACUACUUUUCUUUUCCUUCUCCAUCUUAACCAAACAAAACAAACAUACCCCAUAUGUUACAUUCUAUAUUCUAUUCAACCAUAUAAAACAAAUUUAUAUAUUUUUCAUCAUCAUUUUCCUUUGGAUAUACUCUUUACACCUAUUUAUGUGUCCAUUCUCACUAAACCUAUACAUCCUAUUUCUUUUGUUGCACGUCCUUUUCUAUUCUUUUUCUCAUACACGUGUUUCGAUCUCUUUUAACUAUCAUCCUUCGUUUAAAGUUAUAAUCUAAAAGUAUCGUUAUUAUUAAAUGUUUUAGACACUCCAUAGCCAAUGAGAAUGGAUUGAAAGGAGGCAUUAAUAAGUUGCAUAGAAUAGUUAUGGAUAGUUGUGAAGCCCGUAGGGUGCUUGGGAAAAGGUAUAGGUGAGCGCAUGAGUCUAAAAGGGAAAUGUCAAUGCCUUGAGGUUUGGAUCGACCAAUCUAGUAGGUAUCAAUUGCUAAUUGAAAAAAAAAAAAACUUAGCUAAACCUUUAUUGGUACCAUGCAACCUCAAGUGUCAGAGGAAGGGCCUCUAAAUAGCCUCACUUGACUGCCCCAAAUAAGAUACAACUUUGAUUUUCUUACAUGCUUAGCUGAACUAAAUACUCUAUAAAUAUCAGAGUGUAGUAGUCUCGACAAUAACACUUGUGCAAUGAUCUCUCAUGUAGGCCAACUAGGAAUAAUUGGAGAUUGACUAUGAAAUGAAGAAGUCAACCAAAGGUCAAGCUCAUGAGGUUAUACAAUAAAUAUCAGAGUUGGUUUGUUUGUUUUUUAUACGACACAAGUGAAGACAUGCAGAUUUGAACAUCCGACUUUAAGAGAAUUCAUGCAUGCCAAUUACCAUUGAGUUUAGUCACUUAAUUACUAAAUGUUACUUUGUUUAACAUUGAAUAUGGAAUCUCAUAAGAAAAAGUGAUUUUUAGCUAUCUUUCGCACCAAUGUGUGUAUAUAUAUAUAUAUAAAUAUAUAUUCAAAAAGUAUCUUUGAU